rnacentral:rRNA from 1 species
GCUUAACACAUGCAAGUCGAGGGGCAGCAUGAACUUAGCUUGCUAAGUUUGAUGGCGACCGGCGCACGGGUGAGUAACACGUAUCCAACCUGCCGAUGACUCGGGGAUAGCCUUUCGAAAGAAAGAUUAAUACCCGAUGGCAUAGUUCUUCCGCAUGGUAGAACUAUUAAAGAAUUUCGGUCAUCGAUGGGGAUGCGUUCCAUUAGGUUGUUGGCGGGGUAACGGCCCACCAAGCCUUCGAUGGAUAGGGGUUCUGAGAGGAAGGUCCCCUACAUUGGAACUGAGACACGGUCCAAACUCCUACGGGAGGCAGCAGUGAGGAAUAUUGGUCAAUGGACGAGAGUCUGAACCAGCCAAGUAGCGUGAAGGAUGACUGCCCUAUGGGUUGUAAACUUCUUUUAUACGGGACUAAAGUGAGGCACGUGUGCCUUUUCGUAUGUACCGUAUGAAUAAGGAUCGGCUAACUCCGUGCCAGCAGCCGCGGUAAUACGGAGGAUCCGAGCGUUAUCCGGAUUUAUCGGGUUUACAGGGAGCGUAGGCGGACGCUUACGUCCAGUGUGAAAGUUUGCGGCUCAACCGUAAAAUUGCAGUUGAUACUGGGUGUC